CGGGGCAACCUGGCGGCGAGUGGCGAACGGGUGAGUAAUAUAUCGGAACGUACCCAGAAGUGGGGGAUAACGUAGCGAAAGUUACGCUAAUACCGCAUACGAUCUACGGAUGAAAGUGGGGGACCUUCGGGCCUCAUGCUUUUGGAGCGGCCGAUAUCUGAUUAGCUAGUUGGUAGGGUAAAGGCCUACCAAGGCGACGAUCAGUAGCUGGUCUGAGAGGACGACCAGCCACACUGGGACUGAGACACGGCCCAGACUCCUACGGGAGGCAGCAGUGGGGAAUUUUGGACAAUGGGCGCAAGCCUGAUCCAGCAAUGCCGCGUGAGUGAAGAAGGCCUUCGGGUUGUAAAGCUCUUUUGUCAGGGAAGAAACGGCUGGGGCUAAUAUCCCCGGCUAAUGACGGUACCUGAAGAAUAAGCACCGGCUAACUACGUGCCAGCAGCCGCGGUAAUACGUAGGGUGCAAGCGUUAAUCGGAAUUACUGGGCGUAAAGCGUGCGCAGGCGGUUUUGUAAGUCUGACGUGAAAUCCCCGGGCUCAACCUGGGAAUUGCGUUGGAGACUGCAAGGCUGGAGUCUGGCAGAGGGGGGUAGAAUUCCACGUGUAGCAGUGAAAUGCGUAGAGAUGUGGAGGAACACCGAUGGCGAAGGCAGCCCCCUGGGUCAAGACUGACGCUCAUGCACGAAAGCGUGGGGAGCAAACAGGAUUAGAUACCCU
rnacentral:rRNA from 1 species